CCUAAAACGAUAUUAUUAUAUAAUAUGCAGAUUACGUGUCCGGAUAGCGCGUAGAGAACAUAAAAAAUACGUUACUCAAAAGCAGUUGUAGGUAAAUAUGAAAAUUCCAACAAUAUUGUUGAUACAUCGCGUUACCUAUAGCUAUAGCCAAAUAAUAAAUUUGUAAUUUACUCGAAAAAUGGUCGAAUUAUGUCUAUAAAAAUACGCUCCCGAAAAUGAACAAAUUAGAAAUCCUAACAAAAAUAUGUUUCGUAUUUUUUUACAAUAUUAUAAUUUAAUACGUUACAAUGAGUUUUGAACAAAA